rnacentral:snRNA from 1 species
AACCUUGCGCAGUGGCAAUAUCGUGACCAAUGAAGGUCUCCUGAGGUGCGAUUAUUGCUAGUUGAAAACUUUUAGUCAAGUAUUUCCUGUGCAAUAACAAAACUUUGGCGCAAGAAACUUGAGGUCAAAACCU